GGUGCUAUAGUGUAGUGGUCUAUCACUUGGGAUUUUGAUCACCUGUUCAAUCUUCCCAUAACCCAGGUUCGAACCCUGGUAGCACCU